rnacentral:tRNA from 1 species
AUGAGGAUACUGCUUAGUGGUAGAGCACAUGCCUGGCAUAUAUGAGGUUUUGGGUUUGACUCCCCCUCUCCCUC